rnacentral:lncRNA from 1 species
GAAGGCUAUAUUUUUAUAUUAUAAAAAUGGGUGGCAGGUGUUUAAAGCUUCCAAGGGAAGCAAUUGUUUUUAUAAGCUUUCAGAUUGUGCGUCCACCUCACCAAUCUCGAUUAUUGGCCUCAUGAACUCCUGGAUUAUUGGUCUCAUGAACUCCAUAGGAAGCCUGUGAGUAAAUAAUAGGAAUCGUAACAAGUCCCCAAUGGUCCAAGAUGAGUAUCAUGUGUUAAGGGAUAUGGGGGCUAUGAAGAUCGCUCAUGAUAGGGAAACCACAGACCAUAGAGCACGGGUACAAAUAGAAUAUUCAGCAGAGGUGCAAGCACAUCAUACCAAGGUGCAGAUUAAGGAAAAGCCCAAAAGAAGAAUCAUGAGGCCACUUUACCUUCGAGAUUAUGCUUAAGGGUAGAAAAGGGAUUUAGUAGAAAUCCUUAUUGUGUGAUGAUGCUGUUAGAGCAGGGGACAAGCUUAACGGAAUUGAUUCUGUGAUAUUCCUCUUGCACAAAAAGAUAAGAAUUCUGUUAUUAGAGGAUAGUAUAAAUAAGUAUGUAAAUAAGUCAUAAUCAUGAAUGAAAAUAUCCCUUGCCUUACUAUUUUCUCUUCUCUUCUCUUCUAUGGAGGCCUUGGUCCUCGAAAACAGCUAGCUCGAUCUUUAUCCCUAACAUUGGUGCUCUCGUUGAGAGUCGAACUCAAGACCUCCCGCUUAGUACGAAACUAAGCGCAUGGCUGGAUUGUUAUGUCCCCUCCCGGUACCGUCACGGUCGUGGGAGGACCUUUCUCUCGAUUUUAUCACGGGCUUGCCGGUGUACCAAGGUCACACAGUCAUCCUCGUCGUUGUGAAUAGGUUCUCGAAAGGGGUUCAUCUGGGUAUGCUACCCACAGCUCACACAGCGUUAGCAGUAGCUUCGUUAUUUGUCAACAUCGUCGUCAAGCUUCACGGCAUUCCCCGGAGUUUGGUGUCUGAUCGGGACCCCCUCUUCAUUAGUAGAUUCUGGCAAGAACUUUUCCGGCGCAGUGGCACUCAACUCCGGAUGAGCACCGCCUAUCACCCCCAAAGUGAUGGCCAAACGGAGGUGCUCAAUAGGACUAUUGAGCAAUACCUGAGAAGCUUCGUUCACCGGCGACCAAGCUCAUGGGGAAAGUACCUUCCUUGGGCAGAGUGGUCACACAAUACGUCCUGGAAUUCCGCCACCAGGACCACUCCUUACGAGCUCACUUUCGGCAAGAAGCCGUUCAAUUUCCCUGAGUACAUCGCAGGGUCCUCUACUGUGGAUGUCGUGGAUAAUUUGCUGCAGGACCGAGAUGAGACCUUCCAAAUGGUUCGUAGAAAGCUCUUGAAAGCCCAAAGUCGCAUGAAGGAACAGGCAGACCGUCGCCGAAGCGACGUAAACUACAAUUCUGGUGAUUGGGUUUGGCUCAAAUUGCGACCCCAUAGAUAGACCUCGGCCAAAGGCUCUCAGAGUUCUUCUGGUAAACUAGCAAGGAGGUACUAUGGACCCUUCCGGGUUAUCGAAGCCAUCGGCAAAGUAGCUCAUCACCUGCAACUUCCACCAGAUACGAAAAUUCAUGAGGUCUUCCAUUAUUCUCUUCUCAAACCAUUCCGUGGUCAACUGGAGACCACCUCUCCCGCGCCUUUACCAGACCAAUUUCACAAUGAUCAACCUAUUAUCACUCCGGCAGCAAUUGUGGAUUAUCGCAGAACCCCUUCGGACGCUUGGGAAGUCUUGGUUCAAUGGCAUGGCUUAUCCCCAGAUGAUACAUCUUGGGAGGAUUGGUCCACUCUUUGCCAUGACUAUCACCUUGAGGACAAGGUGAUUUCCCAAGGGCCGCGAGAUGAUAGGGAAACCACAGACCACAGAGCAGGGGUACAAAUAGAAUAUUCAGCAGAGGUGCAAGCAGAUCAUACCAAGGUGCAGAUUGAGGAAAAGCCCAAAAGAAGAAUCAUGAGGCC